CCUACGGGAGGCAGCAGUGAGGAAUAUUGGUCAAUGGACGAGAGUCUGAACCAGCCAAGUAGCGUGAAGGAUGACUGCCCUAUGGGUUGUAAACUUCUUUUAUAUGGGAAUAAAACGUUCCACGUGUGGGAUUUUGUAUGUACCAUAUGAAUAAGGAUCGGCUAACUCCGUGCCAGCAGCCGCGGUAAUACGGAGGAUCCGAGCGUUAUCCGGAUUUAUUGGGUUUAAAGGGAGGGAAGGUGGAUUGUUAAGUCAGUUGUGAAAGUUUGCGGCUCAACCGUAAAAUUGCAGUUGAAACUGGCAGUCUUGAGUACAGUAGAGGUGGGCGGAAUUCGUGGUGUAGCGGUGAAAUGCUUAGAUAUCACGAAGAACUCCGAUUGCGAAGGCAGUUCACUGGACUGCAACUGACACUGAGGCUCGAAAGUGUGGGUAUCAAACAGGAUUAGAUACCCUAGUAGUC
rnacentral:rRNA from 1 species